rnacentral:rRNA from 1 species
GAAAAGAACUUUGAAGAGAGAGUUCAAGAGUACGUGAAACCGUUCAGGGGUAAACCUGAGAAACCCAAAAGAUCGAAUGGGGAGAUUCAUCGACGACGAAGCUGGCUCCCGUUGGCGUGCGAUUCCCCCGUUGGGACCUCGGUUCCAGAACGCGGGGUACACCCCUUCGGCGAAUAACCGGCGACGUAGUCGUGCACUUCUCCCUUAGUAGAACGUCGCGACCCGUUGUGUGUCGGUCUACGGCCUGGGCUACUUGCCUGUCGCGGUGGCAUUCGUUCGCUCGCGGCAGAGGCUCGGUCGCCCGGCCGGCUGCACGACGGUACUCCGACGGUAUCGGGCCGCAACCAGUCCAUUCUCGAAUGGUAUAUGCGUCCAGGCCCGUCGCAAGCUCGGACAGCACCCGGAGCGUGUGGACGCAGCGCCCUCCCCGGGUCUGGCCAGCUGUUAGCAGACGGUGUCCUCGGACCGGCCAAGCUUCGAAUUACCGGUCAGCGACGCUAUUGCUUUGGGUACUCUCAGGACCCGUCUUGAAACACGGACCAAGGAGUCUAACAUGUGCGCGAGUCAUUGGGACAUUGAAACCUAAAGGCGAAAUGAAAGUGAAAGUCGUCGUAAGCGUCGACCAAGGGAGGAUGGGCCGCGUCACGUCGCGGCCUCGCACUCCCGGGGCGUCUCGUUCUCGUUGAGAAGAGGCGCACCCAGAGCGUACACGUU